AUAUUUGUUUGUAAGGGUGUGUUGGUUUAAUUUAAAAAAAUUGUUCUUAUCAGUUUAAUAACUGAUACGUCCUCCAUUUGAGGACUUUAUAUUAAAUAGAUUUUUAGAGCAGGGAGCUGGAAGAGGGGCUUGCUCCAUCUGCUCCACGCAUCGACCUGGUAUUGCAGUAUGUACAUGAAAGGUGCACCCUUU